UACGGGGGGGCAAGCGUUGUUCGGAAUUACUGGGCGUAAAGGCUGGUAGGCGGCCAACUAAGUCGGAUGUGAAAUCCCGGCUCAACCUGGGACUGCAUUGUGACUGCAUAGCUAGAGUACGGUAGAGGGGGGAUGAAUCCGCGUGUAGCAGUGAAUGCGUAGAUAUGCGGAGGAACACGAUGCGAGCAAUCCCUGGCCUGCACUGACGCUCAUGCACGAAGCGUAGGGAG
rnacentral:rRNA from 1 species